AUCUCCAGGCUGUGGGUUUAUUCCAGAACGGACUGGAUUUGGUGAAGUCCGAGAAGUUGGUGAAGAAGUUUAUGUUUCAUCAUCCGAAGAGCUUGGCCGAAGCCUUUGACAAGGCAGAAGGCUAUAUCGUUGUGGAAGAAGCUAUGAACAGCCUGAAGCAUCCUCCUUCGGAUCAGGUGAAAGAGUCAGUAGCUCCUAAGGCCGAAGUUGAACAGAGGAGAACG
rnacentral:lncRNA from 1 species